UACAGAGGGUGCGAGCGUUAAUCGGAAUUACUGGGCGUAAAGCGCGCGUAGGCGGUUUUGCAAGUCGGGUGUGAAAUCCCCAGGCUUAACCUGGGAACUGCAUUCGAGACUGCAUUACUAGAGUAUGGGAGAGGGAAGUGGAAUUUCCGGUGUAGCGGUGAAAUGCGUAGAUAUCGGAAGGAACAUCAGUGGCGAAAGCGACUUCCUGGACCAAUACUGACGCUCAUGAUGCGGAAAGCGUGGGGAGCAAAACAGG
rnacentral:rRNA from 1 species